rnacentral:lncRNA from 1 species
GGGGGGAAUUACCAUUAGCAGUUGAAGUGGUAGGAAAUUUUUACAUAGGAGAGUAUGGUGAUCAUAUUUGCAUUUUAGAAAAUAAUGGAUAGCAGUUUGUUAGGGGAACAAAGGACAGAGACAGGGAGACUAUUUAAAACAUUAAUAAAAAAUACCAGUGACAGAUGAUGAGGCACCUACCUGAUGGGAAUGGAGAAGAGGAGAUGGAUUCAGAAACUACUUAGGAGGUACAGUCAUCAAGAUCUAGAUGACUAAUUGCAUGUAGGGGGUAAAAAAGUAGGAAGAAGAGAGGAUGAUGACUCCUGCAUUUCUGGCUUGGGAAAGUGGUUAGAUUGUGGGCUGGAUGUGUGCAUGAUUAUGUGUGUGUAGCUGAAAAGGCAAUUUAGCUUUGCAACUGUUGAAGUGAAUAUGGACCAUAGACAUAGAUAUCCCUAGGUAGCUGAAUAUGUAGCCUGCAAAUCAGGAGAAAAUUCUAGGUGAAGAUGGUAAUUGCGAAUCAUCAGAGUCUAUAUGAGGCAGGCAGUCCAAGGCUGAUGCCCAAAGAAGCCAUCAAGACCCGUGCUACUUCCAGCUCCUUCUGUCCUCAUAAUCAUAGAUGAUUGCUCCACAUCCAGAGUCUCGCUCAGUUUCCAGGCUGGAGUGUAAUGGCGUGAUCUUGGCUCACUGCAACCUCUGCCUCCCAGCUUCAAGUGAUUCCCCUGCUUUAGCCUCCCAAGCAGCUGGGACUACAGGCAUGCACCAGCAUGGCCGGCUAAUUUUUUUUUGUAUUUUAGUACAGAUGGGGUUUAACCAUGUUGGCCAGGAUGAUCUUGAUCUCCUGACCUCGUGAUCUGCCCACCUCGGCCUCCCAAAGUGCUAGGAUUACAGGCGUGAGCCACCUUGCCCGGCCUUCUAUUCCUUUUUCUAAUGCAUUUGCCCCAGCUAUCUGUAUAGCCUGCAAUCUGGUAGAUGGACCACAGGGAAACCACUGCAGCAAACUAAAAGUGUCUAUCUCAGAUCCUUCCACCACCAUCAUUUCCAAAAUCACCGUCACUAUCUCCACCACCAUCACCUUUACCACCAUCACCACUAUCAUCCUCAUCCUUCCCAUCACCAUCUCCACUGCUAUCUCUCAACACCAUCAUCAUCACCACCACCACCAUCAUCACCAUGAGCACCACCUCUGUCGUCAUCAAAAAAGCACACAGUUCAGGCUGGCCUGUUGGAGGAUAACAGAUCAUGUGGAGCAGAGACGAGCUGGCCCACCUCAGGCCCUACCAGAGCAAUCAGCUUGCCAAACACGACAUACAUCAGCGAGGCCAUCCUAGACCAUCCAGCCCUAGCUGAGCCAGCCCAGACCAGAGACUCAUGAGAAACAGUAAAAUGUUCAUCAUUUUAA